GAGUUUGAUCCUGGCUCAGGAUUAACGCUGGCGGUAUGCCUAACACAUGCAAGUCGAACGGAAUACUAAUUAAGAGAAAUCUCACACUAGUGAGAGGUUCUCACGAGUAGUAUUUAGUGGCGGACGAGUGAGUAACACGUUGGAACCCUGCCCCGAAGUGGGGAAUAACUGCUCGAAAGAGUAGCUAAUACCCCAUAGUAUCCGGUUUAUCCGGAUUAAAGAUUUAUCGCUUCGGGAGGGGCCUGCGUCUGAUUAGCUAGUUGGUGAGGUAAAAGCUCACCAAGGCGACGAUCAGUAGCUGGUUCGAGAGGAUGACCAGCCACACUGGGACUGAGAUACGGCCCAGACUCCUACGGGAGGCAGCAGUGAGGAAUCUUCCACAAUGGGCGCAAGCCUGAUGGAGCAAUACCGCGUGCAGGAAGACGCUUUUCGGAGUGUAAACUGCUUUUGUCGUCGAAGAUUAUGACUGUAGACGAAGAAUAAGGACCGGCUAACUACGUG
rnacentral:rRNA from 1 species